CCUAUCCCUGGAAUCAUUACAGGUGUGGCUGCUAUGUCACAUGUAUGUCAACAGGUGACAAAGAGGAGGGAGGCUAUGUACAUUCUCAGUGUUCUGACCUAUGAACAUCUGAAUGAUUAGUAGCCCAACAUU